CGGGGCAUGGCGCAGUCUGGCAGCGCACUUGACUGGGGGUCAAGAGGUCACAGGUUCAAAUCCUGUUGCCCCGACCA
rnacentral:tRNA from 1 species